CUCAACACACUAAUAUCAUGUCGUGUUUUUCCUUCAGCAGUUGGUCCUACAAAGGAGUGGAAACCAAAGUCAACAAAUGUAAAACCUGCUCCAGCGGUGGGAAAAUUGGAAACUACUAUGAAGCAUUGAGCAUGGAGCAUUGGUUGAAGAGGAGGGAGGAGGGGAGGGGGAGGGGGGCGGGGAUGGGAAGGAGAUACUGCAGAGCAAGAAGGACCGGGCGAGGCUCGACGGGAUGUAUAAAGUUUGGAUCUUUUGUUGGUGCUCAACUUCACUCGGUUUUGUGUAUCUAUUUGUCAGAUUUUCUACUGUGAUGGCGAGACAAUUGUUGGCAACUUCUAUCUUGUCUACUUUGCAUCCAUUUGCUAGAUGUGCAGACCUGUUCAGGGGAAAGUGUUGGUUUGUUUCUAAGGGGGUGUUAUUCAUCCAGGGUUGUUUGGUAGAGGACAAUAUUCUUGAUUGAUGUCAGGGCAAAUCUGGGCUCUCCACUGUCUUUCAUGUUCUCUUUUUUAGAGCCCCUUUUCGUUGAUAUAGUUUUGAUUUGUAUAUGCAAAGUAUGAUUGCCAUUCUCAUUGUAAAAUAAGAAGCAUUUUUAUUGGAGCUAUAUUAUGAAUUCACUCUACA